rnacentral:misc_RNA from 1 species
UCUCCGUUGGUGAACCUGCGGAGGGAUCAUUACUGAGUGAGGGUUUAACCGCCCGACCUCCAACCCUUUGUGAAUCGUACUCGUUGCUUCGGGGGCGACCCUGCCGUCCGCGGCUGAGCGCCCCCGGGGUCAAUCAAACACUGCAUUCUCUGCGUCGGAGUAUUAGUAAAUCUAAUCAAAACUUUCAACAACGGAUCUCUUGGUUCUGGCAUCGAGAAGAACGCCAGC